GACGAACGCUGGCGGCGUGCCUAAUACAUGCAAGUCGAACGCAGUGGGGACGGGUGAGUAACACGUGGGCAACCUCCCAUCAGAGGGGAUAACACUUGGAAACAGGUGCUAAACCGAUACUGAUGGAUGGAUCAGCGGUGCAUUGGCUCUCUGGUGGGGUAACGGCUCACCAAGGCCACGAUGCAUAGCCGACCUGUGAGGGUGAUCGGCCACACUGGAACUGAGACACGGCCCAGACUCCUACGGGAGGCAGCAGUAGUGAAUCUUCGGCAAUGGACGAAAGUCUGACCUAGCAACGCCGCGUGAAUGAAGAAGGUUUUCGGAUCGUAAAGCUCUUUUGUUAGAGAAGCGGUAUCUAACCAGUAAGCCACGGCUAACUACGUGCCAGCAGCCGCGGUAAUAC
rnacentral:rRNA from 1 species